GCCAGGCCGCGCCGCCGCCCGGGGCAGGGCCGGGGGGAGCCGAGGGGGCCCGGCAGCCCCUGCCCGCCCUGCCCGGCCCGGCAGCCAUGUUGGGGCGGCCUGGAGGCGGCACCGGGGCUCCCGGGGGGACGAGCGGCCCUGACGCCCCCCAGCCAGGCUCCAUCCCAAGGGGUCCACCCUCCGCAGGAAGUCAAAAUGAGUAACAUCUAAUGGAGUGACAAAGCAAAAUUUCCACAGAGUACAGCUGUGAGAAGCAUCAACACCAGUAACUUGAGGAGUUAUGUAUUUUUUCCUGCUCUGGCUAGUCAGUGAUUAUGAAAGAGUGACAAGAAGGCUGAUUUGCAUAAGAAAUACCCUCAGGACAAUGCAGAGUUUUGUUUCACAAGUUUUUAGGUUCAAAAAGCCAAGUAAAGUUGUUUUCCAAUAACUUUCCACUGUCCUGCACUUUUGAAUUCCUGACUCUGUCAAGCUAUGGAAAUGCCAGAAUGCAGACAGUUCUUCCUGGGUUUUACCUAGGCAGAAGUGGUAAAACCUGAAAAUCUUUUAAUAUUUAUUACACACCUUAUAAAUAAUUUUGUAAGAUUGUGUCUUUCAAACGGGGUGACAGAUGAGGAGACCUUCAGUCUGGCUGAAUAAUUUGCCCCCAGCGUGUGCUGGAACACAGACAAACAGGAUGUUUUAGCCCCAAUUUAUUGAUAGAAAAAUUGAGACAAGGAAGUGAAGGCAUUUAUUUUUCAAGCGUAAAAGUGCUCAUUUGUAAGCAGGCAAUUUAGGCUCGAACUUUUUUUUUCCCUUUUUUUUUUUGAGGAAAAGGACCGUGUAUAUACAGUUCCCAUUGAAAUUACACUUGAGGCACCCAAGCAGAAAGACUUUGGCCAUACUCUUUUGGGGUCCUGCAACCCUAAUCCCAUGUUCUAAUUGGCCAGUAAUCUGUGGACAGAUAUUGUAACAGUUCCUUUAGAAUAUUUUUCUACUUCUCGCUCAUUUGCAUACUAAUGGCAUAAAAAUAGGCACUUCCUGCCAGUAAUUAGUUAGAGCCCAGAAUUUAAAGAAAGAAAAACACCACAGCAUUAUGGUAGACGGAUGGUACUGAGGAAGCUGCAGAAAAGAGUCACUUCUCUGGUGCUCAGAGAGUGCCUUUAAUUUAGAGUUCAAGGCUGGCAACUCUGUUACCUCUGUGUAACAGGGAUUAACUGUUUGCUUGGCCUAAUAACUUUGCCUCUAAUGAGCCUUUCUAACUUUUUUCAUGGCAAAUCACUCGAUCUGUCCUGCACCCAGGCUUGCUGCUGUAAAACUGUAAAAUCUUUUUCUUUUUUUGCCUUUUUCCCAGAAAGAAUAAUGCUGGAGGUGAAGUCUGCACCGUGAGCAGAGUUCCGUGUGGAUCACCGGGACUCAGACCAUCACAGAGGCUGCUCAAAGGUUCUUCACCUAAUGAGGCACUGUGAAACUUUUACUACAUCAAGUCAUAUGCAAGUUCCAGGUUUAAAGAGCCCUUUAAGAGCUGGAGAGCUUUGGGUGUACAUAAGGGGUUGUUUGACCUCUCAUGUGUAGGCCAUAGACUUAAGUGCAAACCAAGCUGGUGAUAGCUAGAAAUGUUCCUCUUCUGACAGCAACAUAGGAAGCUUUUAGUUAAGAAAUCACAGAAUCACAGAAUGGUUUGUAUUGGGAGAGACCUUAAAGAUCGUCCAGUUUCAAUUAACUUGAACGAGAGAGUGAAAGUUUAUUUUGCUGCUUUCAUUCCCCUGACUUCUGGACAUCCUCAGUACAUGGAGCUCCUGGAGAGGGUUCAGCAGAGGCUACAGACAAAAUUAAGAGACUCUCUGUUACGAGGAAAGGCUGAGGGAGCUGGGCCUGUUCAGCCUGGAGAAGGGACACUGAGAGGGGACCUAAUCAAUGUCUAUCAGUGUCUGCAGGGAGGGGGCAGAGGAUGGACCAGGCUCUGCUCAGGGAUGCCCAGCAAUGGAACAAGAGGAACGGGCAGGAAAUGAUGCCCAGGAAGUUCCACCUGAACAUGGGGAAGAGCUUCUUUCCUGUGCAGUGACUGAGCACUGGAACAGAUCACCCAGAGAGAGUGUGGAGUCUCCCUCACUGGAGAAGUACACGGCAACUGAUGAGCACGGAGCAUCUGUGGCAAAGGAAAAAAACACCGUCUUCAAAUUUUGAGGAGCAAACAUGACCCUUUCUGUUUCUACUGCUUCCCACCCACAUUCAGUUAGUGUAAGAGAAGAAGGAAAAUGAGGGGAAAAAAAAAAAAAAGGCAGAAAUAUUUUCUUUGCGGGGAAGGACCAAAGAAUGUAUUAUUUUCUCAGUCACAAGCAAGCACUUUCAUCACCUCUGCUUUCAUUUUGCUCCAUAUCAUAAGUGACAGGGAAUUUUUUAUAUAUUACUGGUGUAACUUAGAAGAGGUCACAUGUCUAAAAGUUCUCCUGCGGGAGUCUUCUUUUGGAUGUAUGCAAAUUUUACAGUGCUUAUGCCACUUGUAAUUUGGAGAUAGGUAUAAGCAAAUGCAUAUGCAUAUGUAAAAUGGAGAUUAUAUGUGUAUAUGCAAUUUUGCAGAAUUAAUCAACCAAGAAUGUACAAAAACUAUAAAUGGUUUGUUGAAAUUUGGCUCAAAAAAGAUUUAUGAAUUAUCCUGCUAUAGCAGCUUUCACUCAAUGAUGCGAAAUGCACUUUUUUAUUAAUAAUUAAUAACUUAUGAGAUUUACAUGAUAAUGGGGCUUUAAGCAACCUGGUCUAGUGGAAGAUGUCCCUGCCCAUGGCAGGGAGUUGGAACAACAUGGUCUUUAAGGUCCCUUCCAACCCAAAUGAUUUAAUGAUUCUAUGAUAAUAUUAUUGCCCCAGAAUAGCAUUUUAACAACAUAUCCCAAUCUUGAGAGGACCUGUUCGUACCUAUGUUUAUUCACAAUUGCUGUAGUGGUGUUUU